GAUGAAGAACGCAGCGAAAUGCGAUAAGUAAUGCGAAUUGCAGAAUUCAGUGAGUCAUCGAAUCUUUGAACGCACAUUGCGCCCUGUGGUAUUCCGCAGGGCAUGCCUGUUCGAGCGUCAUUUCAACCCUCAAGCCUCGCUUGGUGUUGGGCCCUGCCCGCCGCGGCCGGCCCUAAGAUAGUGGCGGCGCCGCCUGGCCCUCAGCGUAGUACAGCUCUCGCUCCAGGGUCCGGCGGCAGCCUGCCAGAACCCCCCAACUCUGUGGUUGACCUCGGAUCAGGUAGGGAUACCCGCUGAACUUAAGCAUAUCAAUAAGCGGAGGA
rnacentral:misc_RNA from 1 species